rnacentral:misc_RNA from 1 species
UAUCAUCAAUCAACUGCACAAAUUUGUCAAGUCAAUGAGUUGUAUCAAUAAAUAUGUAUGAUAAAACCUUAAAGAAUAAAAAUGACAUUGGAACAAUAUAUAGCCAGUUUUCCCAAGUAAUUUCACAGGUCUAAAAUGCCUGCACUGUGCAACAACUGCCCAUAUCAACAAAGUAAUGCACAAAGAUGGUAUGCAAUGGAAAAACAACCUACAGUGUCUCCCAUUCAAAUUCAACGAAUGAUUUAAGACUUCAUUGUCCAUUUACCUUUGCAAAAGCUGUGUAGUGACC